AGGGAUGUGUUUCAGUUCGUAGAGUGUUUGUCUGGCAUGCACAAGGCCCUGGGUUUGAGUCCCAGCAGCAUUU
rnacentral:tRNA from 1 species